rnacentral:rRNA from 1 species
UACGUAGGGUGCAAGCGUUAAUCGGAAUUACUGGGCGUAAAGCGUGCGCAGGCGGUUUCGUAAGUCUGUCGUGAAAUCCCCGGGCUCAACCUGGGAACUGCAUUUGUGACUGCAAGGCUGGAGUGCGGCAGAGGGGGAUGGAAUUCCGCGUGUAGCAGUGAAAUGCGUAGAUAUGCGGAGGAACACCGAUGGCGAAGGCAAUCCCCUGGGCCUGCACUGACGCUCAUGCACGAAAGCGUGGGGAGCAAACAGG